rnacentral:rRNA from 1 species
GACGAACGCUGCCGGCGGGCCUAAUACAUGCAAGUCGAACGCAGUGGGGACGGGUGAGUAACACGUGGGUAACCUCCCAUCAGAGGGGAUAACACUUGGAAACAGGUGCUAAACGGAAACGGAAGGAUGGACCCGUGGUGCAUUAGCUAGUUGGUGAGGUAACGGCUCAUCAAGGCGACGAUGCAUAGCCGGUCUUAGAGGAUGAUCGUCGACACUUGUACGGAGAGACGGCCCAGACUCCUACGUGAGGCAGCAGUAUGGAAUCUUCGUCAAUGGACGAAAGUCUGACCGAGCAACGCCGCGUGAGUGAAGAAGGUUUGCGGAUCGUAAAGCUCUUUUGUUAGAGAAGCGGUAUCUAACCAGAAAGCCACGGCUAACUACGUGCCAGCAGCCGCGGUAAUAC